UCUUACCUGAGGAGGGCAGCGGGAGGGUUAAGGCUGACAGGCAAGUGGAAGUGGUCGGGGCCCAUAUGCUUUAAUCCCCCCCAGCGACUCCGGGUUGAGGUUUUGAAUUGCCCACCCCCGACCACAGAGGGGGCCCGAUUACCAGCGGCUAAUGUCGCCAAAGCACCGCACGUGCUGCCUCCGGUACGUCCUCAGUCACAUACGGGCCAGACGGAAUGGACAGACAGCGCAGGCACAGCGCAGGCACAGCCGGGCACGUCUGGCCAAUCGAACCACAAAAAUGCAGCACUCACUCUGCAGAGAAGCACACAAAGCCAAGAUAGGCAUCGGCAGCUACCGGCUAUGAAUAAAACAAUGGCGUGCAAACUCCGCCGGGGUACAAGCCCCCGAUACCACCAGAGAUUUUAUCAGCUGAUUAAGCUGUUUCUUCAGGUGCUGUGUACAGUUACCGCAGGUCACACCGCACAUAUCUGCUCUAUCGUAGCGCCAUUACCCCAGCAGUGCCAGUCCUUUGAUCUGCCUUUGAAUCUGGUGCCAUGACAUAGUGCCACUUCGGUUUCCUAGGUGCGUGUUCCAAACAAACAUCUCCCCCAGGCUCAACCCCAACCCCCCGGCGAUCCACAGGGUUCAAAACGACAGGUACACAGAUGUUUAUCGGCCUCUCCUACAAACCCGGUUGAGCAAUCAUGUUGCUUAAAAUGCUCCAUGAGUCGUUAAGUGCUCUGCAAUCAGCUGGAGAUACAGCACUUAUCUCAGGUGAGGGAGUGACUCUCAGUUUCAUUUGCUAACGAGAAGACGAGAGCUUCUCCGUAUUCGUUUCUCUGGCUGAAUCAGGAUGGCGCCAAAAGGUUCCGUCACCUUCUAAGCAAAGGUGGGAUUUCAGGCCUCUGGUGUAGAUACAGACGGGGGGGGGGUGAUGGGGGAUUCAAACCCACAGCCCCGUCCAAGCGAAGCAGCAGCUGCCCCCCGAGCUAUGCUGCCAUCAUGAAUGCAGUAUAGGAGUCUGUGAAAUGGCCACCAGACAGGCUGGCAGAAGAAGACCCACAACUCAACACCUACUGGGCCAAGCAAACACAAGCAGAAGGCCUUAGGAAUACAGGCAGCCCCCUGACCAAAGCUUUCACCUUUUUACUGAAAUUGACAGGACUGAAAACAUUUACAGCACUCUCAGCUGGAGGACUGUGGCAAAGAAGUGAGCCUUUCCAUUGGGUUAGAAAAAUAUUUUGAAAUUUUUCUCUAAUGUUACACUUUUUUAAAUUUAUUUUAAUAGCAGACCACGAAGGCAUUGUGCUACUGUUACUGCAUGAUGUAAUAUUUGCUGAUACUGCAGUAUUUUUUGUUAGAGAAAUUCAGUUAAAAAUGAAAAAAAUGGGUUGA